GCAUCUGUGGCCGAGUUGGUUAUGGCGCUAGACUCAAGCGAAAGCUUACUGCCAAGUCAUGGUAGAGAUUUCUAGUGUGGGUAACCGCGCGUGGGUUCGAAUCCCACCGGAUGCA